GGCGGCGUAGCUUAACACAUGCAAGUCGAACGGAGUUUUAACGGAAGUUUCGGAUGGAAGUUUAGAAACGUUAGUGGCGGACGGGUGAGUAACGCGUGGGUAACCUGCCUCAGUACAGGGGGAUAACAGUUAGAAAUGACUGCUAACACCGCAUAAUAUAGCGAAACCGCAUGAUUUUGCUAUCAAAUAUUUAUAGGUAUGAGAUGGGCCCGCGUCUGAUUAGCUAGUUGGUGGGGUAAAAGCCUACCAAGGCGACGAUCAGUAGCCGGCUUGAGAGAGUGACCGGCCACAUUGGGACUGAGACACGGCCCAAACUCCUACGGGAGGCAGCAGUGGGGAAUAUUGGACAAUGGGGGAAACCCUGAUCCAGCCGACGCCGCGUGAGUGAAGAAGUAUUUCGGUAUGUAAAGCUCUAUCAGCAGGGAAGAUAAUGACAGUACCUGACUAAGAAGCCCCGGCUAACUACGUGCCAGCCGCCGC
rnacentral:rRNA from 1 species